AGGAAGGUGCAAACAUCAACAAGUCUCUCACUACCCUGGGGAAAGUCUCUCCGCCCUGGCUGAGGGGGGCAAGAGGAGGAAGUCAGAGUUCAUCUCCCGUACCCUGACUCCGUGCUGACCUGGCUGCUGAAGGAGAGCCUGGGGGGCAACUCUCGAACGGCCAUGAUCGCCGCCCUCAGCCCCGCUGACCUGAACUACGAGGAGACCCUCAGUACCCUCAGGUA